rnacentral:rRNA from 1 species
CAAUAGCGUAUAUUAAAGCUGUUGCGGUUAAAAAGCUCGUAGUUGGAUUUCUGUCAAGGACAACUGGUCCGCCCCUCGGGUGAGCACAUAGUUUGGUCUUGGCAUCUUGUUGGAAACUGUUGCUGCACUUGGUUGUGUGGCGCAGUGUCCAGCACUUUCACUUUGAGGAAAUUGGAGUGUUUCAAGCAGGCACAUGCCUUUGGACACAGUAGCAUGGAAUAAUUAGAUUGGGCUUUUGCUCCAACUUGUCGGUUUCUGGAGCUGAGGUGAGAAUUAAUGGGGAUUGUUGGAGGCAUCCGAAUUUAGCCGUCAGAGGUGAAAUUCUUGGAUCUGCUAAAGACGGACAACUGCGAAAGCGUUUGCCCAGGAUGUUUUCAUUGA